rnacentral:rRNA from 1 species
GUUGUAUGGUUAAGUGACUAAGCGUACACGGUGGAUGCCUUGGCAGUCAGAGGCGAUGAAGGACGUAGUAACUUGCGAUAAGCGUAGAUGAGGCAGUAACAGCCACUUGAGUCUACGAUUUCCGAAUGGGGAAACCCACUGGCAUAAGCCAGUAUCAUUGAGUGAAUACAUAGCUCAAUGAAGCGAACCGGGAGAACUGAAACAUCUAAGUACCCCGAGGAAAAGAAAUCAACCGAGAUUCCGAAAGUAGCGGCGAGCGAAAUUGGAUUAGCCCUUAAGCUUUACAUGUGUUAGACGAACGGUCUGGAAAGUCCGACGAUACAGGGUGAUAGUCCCGUAGUUGUAGAUGCAUGUUCAGUGAAAUCGAGUAGGGCGGGACACGUGUUAUCCUGUCUGAAUAUGGGGGGACCAUCCUCCAAGGCUAAAUACUCCUGACUGACCGAUAGUGAACCAGUACCGUGAGGGAAAGGCGAAAAGAACCCCUGUGAGGGGAGUGAAAUAGAACCUGAAACCGUGUACGUACAAGCAGUAGGAGCACCUUCGUGGUGUGACUGCGUACCUUUUGUAUAAUGGGUCAGCGACUUAUAUUCAGUGGCAAGGUUAACCAUCUAGGGGAGCCGUAGGGAAACCGAGUCUUAACUGGGCGCCAUAGUCUCUGGAUAUAGACCCGAAACCGAGUGAUCUAGCCAUGGGCAGGUUGAAGGUUGAGUAACAUCAACUGGAGGACCGAACCGACUAAUGUUGAAAAAUUAGCGGAUGACUUGUGGCUAGGGGUGAAAGGCCAAUCAAACUCGGAGAUAGCUGGUUCUCCCCGAAAGCUAUUUAGGUAGCGCCUCGGACGAAUACUACUGGGGGUAGAGCACUGUUAAGGCUAGGGGGUCAUCCCGACUUACCAACCCUUUGCAAACUCCGAAUACCAGUAAGUACUAUCCGGGAGACACACGGCGGGUGCUAACGUCCGUCGUGGAGAGGGAAACAACCCAGACCGCCAGCUAAGGUCCCAAAUUACAGCUAAGUGGGAAACGAUGUGGGAAGGCUUAGACAGCUAGGAUGUUGGCUUAGAAGCAGCCAUCAUUUAAAGAAAGCGUAAUAGCUCACUAGUCGAGUCGGCCUGCGCGGAAGAUGUAACGGGGCUAAGUUGUAAACCGAAGCUGCGGCAAUGUUCUAUGAACAUUGGGUAGGGGAGCGUUCUGUAAGCCGUUGAAGGUGUGUUGUAAAGCAUGCUGGAGGUAUCAGAAGUGCGAAUGCUGACAUGAGUAACGACAAGGGGGGUGAAAAACCUCCCCGCCGGAAGACCAAGGGUUCCUGUCCAACGUUAAUCGGGGCAGGGUAAGUCGACCCCUAAGGCGAGGCUGAAAAGCGUAGUCGAUGGGAAACGGGUUAAUAUUCCCGUACUUCUUACAAUUGCGAUGGGGGGACGGAGAAGGCUAGGUGGGCCUGGCGACGGUUGUCCAGGUUCAAGUGCGUAGGCUGAGUGUUUAGGUAAAUCCGGAUACUCUUAAGGCUGAGACACGACGUCGAGCUACUACGGUAGUGAAGUCAUUGAUGCCAUGCUUCCAGGAAAAGCCUCUAAGCUUCAGAUUGUAAGGAAUCGUACCCCAAACCGACACAGGUGGUCGGGUAGAGAAUACCAAGGCGCUUGAGAGAACUCGGGUGAAGGAACUAGGCAAAAUGGUACCGUAACUUCGGGAGAAGGUACGCUCUUGAUGGUGAAGUCCCUUGCGGAUGGAGCUGACGAGAGUCGCAGAUACCAGGUGGCUGCAACUGUUUAUUAAAAACACAGCACUGUGCAAAAUCGUAAGAUGACGUAUACGGUGUGACGCCUGCCCGGUGCCGGAAGGUUAAUUGAUGGGGUUAGCGUAAGCGAAGCUCUUGAUCGAAGCCCCGGUAAACGGCGGCCGUAACUAUAACGGUCCUAAGGUAGCGAAAUUCCUUGUCGGGUAAGUUCCGACCUGCACGAAUGGCGUAAUGAUGGCCACGCUGUCUCCACCCGAGACUCAGUGAAAUUGAAAUCGCUGUGAAGAUGCAGUGUACCCGCGGCUAGACGGAAAGACCCCGUGAACCUUUACUACAGCUUGGCACUGAACAUUGAACCUACAUGUGUAGGAU